rnacentral:rRNA from 1 species
AUUGAACGCUGGCGGCAGGCUUAACACAUGCAAGUCGAGCGGGGAAAGGUAGCUUGCUACCUGACCUAGCGGCGGACGGGUGAGUAAUGCUUAGGAAUCUGCCUAUUAGUGGGGGACAACAUCUCGAAAGGGAUGCUAAUACCGCAUACGUCCUACGGGAGAAAGCAGGGGACCUUCGGGCCUUGCGCUAAUAGAUGAGCCUAAGUCGGGUUAGCUAGUUGGUGGGGUAAAGGCCUACCAAGGCGACGAUCUGUAGCGGGUCUGAGAGGAUGGUCCGCCACACUGGGACUGAGACACGGCCCAGACUCCUACGGGAGGCAGCAGUUGGGAAUAUUGGACAAUGGGGGGAACCCUGAUCCAGCCAUGCCGCGUGUGUGAAGAAGGCCUUUUGGUUGUAAAGCACUUUAAGCGAGGAGGAGGCUACCGAGAUUAAUACUCUUGGAUAGUGGACGUUACUCGCAGAAUAAGCACCGGCUAACUCUGUGCCAGCCGCCGCCGUAAUAC